rnacentral:rRNA from 1 species
ACCGUGCAAAGGUAGCAUAAUCAUUAGUUUUUUAAUUGAAAGCUAGAAUGAAUGGUUGGACGAGAAAAUAACUGUCUCAAUUUAAUUGAAUUAGAAUUUUAUUUAUAAGUAAAAAAGCUUAUAUAAUUUUAAAAGACGAGAAGACCCUAUAGAGUUUUAUAUUUAUUUAUAUAAGUUAUUUUUAGUAUAUUUUAAUAUUUUAUAUAAAUAAGUAUUUUAUUGGGGCGAUAGAAAAAUUAAAAUAACUUUUUUUAUAUUAGUACAUUAAUAUAUGAAUAAAUGAUCCAAUAUUUUUGAUUAUAAGAUUAAAUUACCUUAGGGAUAACAGCGUAAUUUUUUUUUAGAGUUCUUAUCGAAAAAAGAGUUU